rnacentral:rRNA from 1 species
UACAGAGGUCUCAAGCGUUGUUCGGAUUUAUUGGGCGUAAAGAGCGUGUAGGCGGCCAGGUAGGUCCGUUGUGAAAACUCGAGGCUCAACCUCGAGACGUCGAUGGAAACCAUCUGGCUAGAGUCCGGAAGAGGAGAGUGGAAUUCCUGGUGUAGCGGUGAAAUGCGCAGAUAUCAGGAAGAACACCUAUGGCGAAGGCAGCUCUCUGGGACGGUACUGACGCUGAGAAGCGAAAAGCAUGGGGAGCGAACAGG